GCAGCCGUCAUUGUUGCGCGUGGCUAUGGGGAUUCGCGCGCUCUAGGAGGAGACUGAGGUUGGGGCAAGCGGGAGGCAUGGGAUAGUUAGUGACCGAGGCUUGUAUCAGUUCCCAUGAUGCCCCGAGGACAAGCCCUGCGUGGCCUCCCUCCCCCCCUCCCCGGGGGUACCUGAAGGCUCCCUAACCCAGAGUAGUCCCAGACCUUUGUCCUAAAGGAGGAGAGGAAUGCAGAGGGUGAUCGGGAUCACAGUGAAAUCAGAAACAUCACCUUUUCACGUCAUUCUAUCACGGGCCGUGGGCCAAUUGAAGGGAUUCUCUCAGUCUCACAUGGGGAGGAGGCUUUUGUUAGCAAGGAGGCUUUUGGCGAUUCGGGGUCCCUUUUGAAAUUCCUCCAAGUAUAGAGAAAUCCUACAUAAUAUUUCUUAAUAUUGAAACUUAUGGUUUAAUAACGAUUAAACCUUAAAAAUAUGAUCGAACCAUAUUGCUAAACCCAAAAGUGCUAAAUUAUGAACUCAUUUCACAAUUUAUUUCUCAUUUCGUUCACCAGCCAGAAACCAGACUGUGGUUUGAGAUUAUUCAAUCGAUCAAUGAAUUAAGCAUCUACUAUGUGCUAGGCACUUUCUUUAAGUCCUAGAGGAAACAAGCAAAAGACAGUUCCAGCUCUCAAAGAACUUAAAAUUUAAGGGGGAAGACAACAGCUUACAAAAGAAAGCAGCAAGACACACAUCAAGUUAAAAAGCAAGUUUGAUGGAUGGAAGCAUUUAAAGACAAAAAAGGAUUCAGAGGAACAGAAAGGUCAUUCAAUGAAGAGUAGGAGAAUGAGCUUGCCUGAAUUAUCUUCUUGCUUACCAUGUGUAAUUUAACUCAAUAAAUAUUAAAUA